rnacentral:lncRNA from 1 species
UGGAGUCAGCUCAUAGAUGCUCUGAUUUUGUCUACCAUUGCUCCUCCUUAAUAUCUCUCGCACAGGUGCCAUUGACCUUUAGAUGGGCUGUACGGUGUGGGGUUCGGUGCCAUGGAUCUGCUUCUCCAGGGACCAGGAUCUUGAGAUCUUCAGGCUGGGUUUCCAUGGAGGCAUGGAGCUGCUUUUCCUCCUUCAUAACUGCACUCAAAACAGCCCUGUUGCUCUAGAAUGGAGACUUGGGCAACUCCUUCUGGCACAGAUUUGUUCACCUCAGGUGAAAUUCAGAUAGAAGCAAGCUGCAGGCAGUUUCACCUCUAAGUCCAUGGGUUCUCAACUGGUAACGUCCUCUUAUGGAUGUUAGCCCAUGAGGUCAAUCCUGUAGCAAUCUAAGGCUUGAGAAAAAUUAAUCUUCUGGAAAAUUCCAAGAAUACAUCUUAGGGAAACUGGCUCUACCUUUAUGACUUGGAUCACACAAGGAUAUGCUUUUCAUCUUGGACUAGAACUGAGAGCCAAUGGAUGUGUUAUCUAAAACUAUCCCAGUGUGUUCACUAUACAGAGGAAGAUUCUGAGAUUCAAGACUCAAGACUGAAGAAGAUCAUUAUUUUUAUUAUUUUAGUCUUAUGCACAAAAUGAUAUCUACUGAAUAAGCAGGUUUUUAAUAGGUGACUUAUAUAUGUUAGCAAAAAUAAACACUUUGUCUUUUAGAUCUAUUCUAGUUUUUCAGUAGCUGUAGACUUAAGUGCUAACUUUUAGCCCAUAGGAUAAGAAGAAACCAAGUCCUAAAAGUAGGCCAGCACCAGGGUUCAGGCCUCUGACUUCAAGCCAAGGGCUCAUCAUCUUGAAUUGCGCACGAAUUUUUACACAGCGCCAAAGGAAACUGCCUGUACUUACUGUUGUAGGUGCUUUGCUGGAUUCAGGAUGCA